CCGAAGAGACUGUGUGCCCGCAGGUACCUGUGUUUUCCAAUAAACCCUCUUGCUGAUUGCAUCCGAGUGGACUGGGCUCGGUCAUUGGGCGCUUGGGACUCCUCCUGAGGGAAAGGUCCUCUCUGGGGGUCUUUCAUUAUGGGGGCUCGCCCCGGGAUUUGGAGACCCUCCGCCCAGAGAUCACCGACCACCCACCGGGAGGUAAGCCGGCCGGCGUUUGUCUUGUCUGUUGUGUCUUGUCCUGUGAAUGAUCGAUCAAUAGGCUCAGAUCUGGGGACUAUCUGGGCGGGCCAGAGAAGGAGCUGACGAGCUCGGACUUCUCC
rnacentral:lncRNA from 1 species